rnacentral:rRNA from 1 species
GAAACACGGACCAAGGAGUCUAGCAUGUGCGCGAGUCAUUGGGACACGACUAAACCUAAAGGCGCAAUGAAAGUGAAGGUCCGCCUUGCGCGGACCGAGGGAAGAUGGGCGGUCCACUCACAAGGUGGUCGCUCCGCACUCCCGGGGCGUCUCGUUCUCAUUGCGAGAAGAGGCGCACCAAGAGCGUACACGCUGGGACCCGAAAGAUGGUGAACUAUGCCUGGUCAGGACGAAGUCAGGGGAAACCCUGAUGGAGGUCCGUAGCGAUUCUGACGUGCAAAUCGAUCGUCGGAACUGGGUAUAGGGGCGAAAGACUAAUCGAACCAUCUAGUAGCUGGUUCCCUCCGAAGUUUCCCUCAGGAUAGCUGGCGCUCGUUGCGCACGAGUCUCAUCCGGUAAAGCGAAUGAUUAGAGGCCUUGGGGUCGAAACGGCCUCAACCUAUUCUCAAACUUUAAAUGGGUGAGAUCUCCGGCUUGCUCGAACUACUGAAGCCGCGAGACACGGAUCAGAGUGCCAAGUGGGCCAUUUUUGGUAAGCAGAACUGGCGCUGUGGGAUGAACCAAACGCCGAGUUAAAGCGCCUAAAUCGACGCUUAUGGGAUACCAUGAAAGGCGUUGGUAACUUAAGACAGCAGGACGGUGGCCAUGGAAGUCGGAAUCCG